CUAGACACAUAUACUCUACCUUAACUUGGGGGGCUAAUGUUGUGGGGGAACAAAAUCUUUAGUUCUAAAUGGAUUAUAAGUCAAUGGGAAGUAUGGUUUAUAUGGAAUGAAAUUUUCUUUCCCAUAUGAGGUGCCUUUUAAAAGAUAGAACAGUGGGAUCCUAUACUAUGGAUCAGAGAUCAAAGUAGAUAAUACCUCAUAUAUAUGGAAGCAGAGACCAAUCUAUCCGAGUCACGAGUCUAUGACCCCGAUAUUAACUAUUCAAACUAUAUGCACUGAUUCUAAUAUACGAAAGCAAAGAACAAGCAGCAUAUUACUGAAGCCUAUAGCCAUGUAUGGUU
rnacentral:lncRNA from 1 species